rnacentral:rRNA from 1 species
AGAGUUUGAUCAUGGCUCAGGAUGAACGUUGGCGGUGUGCCUAAUACAUGCAAGUCGAACGGAGUUAAUAGCAAUAUUGACUUAGUGGCGAACGGGUGAGUAACGCGUUGGUGAUCUGCCUCGAAGUGUGGAAUAACGUUCCGAAAGGAACGCUAAUACCGCAUGUGCUCUCGAUUUUUAGAAAGUUGAGAGUAAAGGAUUUAUUCGCUUCGAGAGGAGCCUGCGUCCAAUCAGCUGGUUGGUAGGGUAACGGCCUACCAAGGCUAUGACGGGUAGGGGACCUGAGAGGGUGGCCCCCCACAAUGGAACUGAAACACGGUCCAUACACCUACGGGUGGCAGCAGUAGGGAAUAUUAGAAAUGGACGAAAGUCUGAUCUAGCAACACCGCGUGUGCGAAGAAGGCCUUCGGGUCGUAAAGCACUUUUUGGAAGGAAUAGGAAGGAAUGUACUUCCAGAAUAAGUCUCGGCUAACUACGUGCCAGCAGCCGCGGUAACACGUAGGAGGCGAACGUUAUCCGGAUUUACUGGGCGUAAAGCGCGUGUAGGUGGUACUGUAAGUAGGGCGUGAAAGCUCCCGGCUCAACUGGGAGAGGCCGUUCUAAACUACAGAACUAGAGGAUGGUAGAGGGAGGUGGAAUUCCAGGUGUAGCGGUGGAAUGCGCAGAUAUCUGGAGGAACACCGGUGGCGAAGGCGGCCUCCUGGACCAUUCCUGACACUCAGACGCGAAAGCUAGGGUAGCAAACGGGAUUAGAGACCCCGGUAGUCCUAGCCCUAAACGAUGUAGACUAGGCGUCGGAAGUUUGAUCACUUUCGGUGUCCAAGCUAACGCGAUAAGUCUACCGCCUGGGGACUACGGCCGCAAGGUUAAAACUCAAAUGAAUUGACGG